rnacentral:rRNA from 1 species
ACAACGUCUCGAAAGGGACGCUAAUACCGCAUACGUCCUACGGGAGAAAGUGGGGGCUCUUCGGACCUCACGCUAUCAGAUGAGCCUAGGUCGGAUUAGCUAGUUGGUGAGGUAAUGGCUCACCAAGGCGACGAUCCGUAACUGGUCUGAGAGGAUGAUCAGUCACACUGGAACUGAGACACGGUCCAGACUCUAUACGGGAGGCAGCAGUGGGGAAUAUUGGACAAUGGGCGAAAGCCUGAUCCAGCCAUGCCGCGUGUGUGAAGAAGGUCUUCGGAUUGUAAAGCACUUUAAGUUGGGAGGAAGGGUUGUACGUUAAUACCGUGCAAUUUUGACGUUACCGACAGAAUAAGCACCGGCUAACUCUGUGCCAGCAGCCGCGGUAAUACAGAGGGUGCAAGCGUUAAUCGGAAUUACUGGGCGUAAAGCGCGCGUAGGUGGUUUGUUAAGUUGGAUGUGAAAUCCCCGGGCUCAACCUGGGAACUGCAUCCAAAACUGGCAAGCUAGAGUAGGGCAGAGGGUGGUG